rnacentral:lncRNA from 1 species
GUGAGAACAGAGGGUGGGAACACAGAGUGAGAACAGAGGGUGGGAACACAGAGUGAGAACAGAGGGUGGGAACACACAGUGAGAACACAGGGUGGGAACACACAGUGAGAACACAGGGUGGGAACACACAGUGAGAACACAGGGUGGGAACACACAGUGAGAACACAGGGUGGGAACACACAGUGAGAACACAGGGUGGGGAGAUACUCAACAUAGAAUAUGCACUUAUAUGUAAACAUUAGUAUUUUAAGAAGAAGUUCUUAAUUCAUCUCUUCCUGGCACUUGAAAGGACAGGUCCCCGGAAGGCAAUCAUGUGAAUUCAGUCAUCAGUUACAUUUCGCCAAGAAUUAAGUCACCCAUCAGCUGACUCAAGGCUUCAACACAUGUCUAAGCUCAGAGAUGCUACUGGUCUCUUCCACGACUUGUUCAAGAUGGAUCUAACACUGAUGAACCCCAUGCCAACAAUUUGCUUCCCAACGUAAAGCUAACUUGGAGUGUGGGAGACGCACACUGAAAUCAUUCUCCUCACAUUAUCAUUAACUUGGGCUCACGAUAAGCGGCCAUCACAGGCUCAGAAGUGGACUUUACCCAUCUUGGACACAAAGCAGUGUUUGUACCAGAAUAAAACGGAAUAUGACUCAUAUACAAAUGGAGAACCUUGAAGCCUAUGAUGUACAUUAUAGAAAGCAGAAAUAGGAAAUGAUGCUGUGCAUUCUAGGUUGAUCCUUUCUAUAAUUAACAAUGUAUUUCUUUCAGGGUUAGUCUUUGUGACUCGUGAGGUGACUACACUAACACCUGGUGUUGAUAAGAUGGCAUGAAAACAGCCAGCUCUGGAAGUCGUGCGGAGUGAUGGCUCAGAAGUGAAUAGUGCUUGCUGCUCUUUCCAAGGACCCGAGAUGGGUUACCAGCACCCAUGUUCUCCAGAUCACAGUCUUCGCUAACUCCAGCUCCAGGGCUUCUAACCCCCUCUUCUGGCCUCCAUGGUCUUUCAUGUGUAUUCUGCAGAAGCCAGAAGGUCCCAUCGAGCUGGAGGUACCGG